rnacentral:rRNA from 1 species
UACGUAGGGUGCGAGCGUUAAUCGGAAUUACUGGGCGUAAAGGGUGCGCAGGCGGUCUCGUAAGCUGGGUGUGAAAGCCCCGGGCUUAACCUGGGAAUGGCAUUCAGGACUGCGAGGCUUUGAGUGCGGCAGAGGGAGGUGGAAUUCCACGUGUAGCAGUGAAAUGCGUAGAGAUGUGGAGGAACACCGAUGGCGAAGGGCAGCCUCCUGGGCCAGCACGUGACGCUCAUGCACAA